rnacentral:rRNA from 1 species
ACGCGCAGANCCUUACCAACCCUUGACAUCCUAGGACCGCUCCAGAGANGGAGUUUUCUCGUAAGAGACCUNGUGACAGGUGCUGCAUGGCUGUCGUCAGNUCGUGUCGUGAGAUGUUCGGUUAAGUCCGGCAACGAGCGCAACCCACAUCCUUAGUUGCCAGCAUUCAGUUGGGCACUCUAGGGAAACUGCCCGUGAUAAGCGGGAGGAAGGUGUGGAUGACGUCAAGUCCUCAUGGCCCUUACGGGUUGGGCUACACACGUGCUACAAUGGCAGUGACAAUGGGUUAAUCCCAAAAAGCUGUCUCAGUUCGGAUUGGGGUCUGCAACUCGACCCCAUGAAGUCGGAAUCGCUAGUAAUCGCGUAACAGCAUGACGCGGUGAAUACGUUCCCGGGCCUUGUACACACCGCCCGUCACACCAUGGGAGUUGGGUCUACCCGAAGGCGGUGCGCCAACCAGCAANG